UGGAAUGAUGAUUUUUGUAGACUAGAGUCUCUGAGCGAAGAGCCUGAAGUUGAUUUACAUGACUGACCA